ACUCAAAGGAAUAGACGGGGGCCCGCACAAGCGGUGGAGCAUGUGGUUCAAUUCGACGCAACGCGAAGAACCUUACCUGGGCUCGAAGUGCUACGGACAGUCUGUGAAAGCAGAUCUCCCCUUAAAAGGCCGUAGUAUAGGUGCUGCAUGGCUGUCGUCAGCUCGUGUCGUGAGAUGUUGGGUUAAGUCCCGCAACGAGCGCAACCCUUGUCCUGUGUUGCCAUCAUUUAGUUGGGAACUCGCAGGAGACCGCCAGCGAUAAGUUGGAGGAAGGUGGGGAUGACGUCAAGUCCUCAUGGCCUUUAUGUCCAGGGCUACACACGUGCUACAAUGGCCGGUACAAAGCGUUCCUAAGCCGCAAGGUGGAGGCAAUCGCAGAAAACCGGUCUCAGUUCGGAUUGCAGGCUGCAACUCGCCUGCAUGAAGCUGGAAUCGCUAGUAAUGCUAUAUCAGAACGAUAGCGUGAAUACGUUCCCGGGCCUUGUACACACCGCCCGU
rnacentral:rRNA from 1 species